AUUGGGCGGUCGUUGUUCUAAACUUGAUUCAUAAACAGUUCAAUGUGUUCGACUCCAACAUUAGAGACUCUGAUUAUGUCAGCAUCCUCGAGAAGCCUUGUUCCAAUUUGGUAUGGGGUAGCAUUUUGUUUUUCUUCUUUUUUCACCAUGCUUUUUUUUUCAAAUCAAUGUUUCGGAAGCAACCAGUCUUGCAUUUUUGCAGAUAGAGAACUUCAAAACUCUGGUGAGAGGAAGAAACCCUUGGAAGCACAAUCUUGACAUGUUUGAGCGCUUCAGUCCAUCAGGCUACCCACAACAGUCAAC
rnacentral:lncRNA from 1 species